rnacentral:rRNA from 1 species
AAGGCUUGACAUACACCGGAAACGUCUGGAGACAGGCGCCCCCUUGUGGUCGGUGUACAGGUGGUGCAUGGCUGUCGUCAGCUCGUGUCGUGAGAUGUUGGGUUAAGUCCCGCAACGAGCGCAACCCUUGUCCCGUGUUGCCAGCAGGCCCUUGUGGUGCUGGGGACUCACGGGAGACCGCCGGGGUCAACUCGGAGGAAGGUGGGGACGACGUCAAGUCAUCAUGCCCCUUAUGUCUUGGGCUGCACACGUGCUACAAUGGCCGGUACAAUGAGCUGCGAUACCGUGAGGUGGAGCGAAUCUCAAAAAGCCGGU